AGUGAACGCUGGCGGUAGGCCUAACACAUGCAAGUCGAACGGCAGCACAGAGGAGCUUGCUCCUUGGGUGGCGAGUGGCGGACGGGUGAGGAAUACAUCGGAAUCUACUCUGUCGUGGGGGAUAACGUAGGGAAACUUACGCUAAUACCGCAUACGACCUACGGGUGAAAGCAGGGGAUCCUCGGACCUUGCGCGAUUGAAUGAGCCGAUGUCGGAUUAGCUAGUUGGCGGGGUAAAGGCCCACCAAGGCGACGAGCCGUAGCUGGUCUGAGAGGAUGAGCAGCCACACUGGAACUGAGACACGGUCCAGACUCCUACGGGAGGCAGCAGUGGGGAAUAUUGGACAAUGGGCGCAAGCCUGAUCCAGCCAUACCGCGUGGGUGAAGAAGGCCUUCGGGUUGUAAAGCCCUUUUGUUGGGAAAGAAAUCCAUCUGGUUAAUACCCGGGUGGGAUGACGGUACCCAAAGAAUAAGCACCGGCUAACUUCGUGCCAGCCGCCGCCGUAA
rnacentral:rRNA from 1 species